rnacentral:rRNA from 1 species
UAAUACGUAGGCAGCGAGCGUUGUUCGGAGUUACUGGGCGUAAAGGGUGUGUAGGCGGUUUUCUAAGUCUGGUGUGAAAUCUCCCGGCUCAACUGGGAGGGUGCGCCGAAAACUGGAAGGCUAGAGUGCGGGAUGGGUAAGUGGAAUUCCUGGUGUAGCGGUGAAAUGCGUAGAUAUCAGGAGGAACACCUGUGGUGUAGACGGCUUACUGGACCGCAACUGACGCUGAAACACGAAAGCGUGGGUAGCAAACAGGAUUAGAUACCCUGGUAGUCCACGCCCUAAACGAUGCAUAUUUGGUGUGGGCCAUUCAUUUGGUCUGUGCCGGAGCUAACGCGUUAAAUAUGCCGCCUGGGGAGUACGGUCGCAAGGCUG